rnacentral:lncRNA from 1 species
CGGUCACGCUCAUGCCUCAGGGCAUCACCGUCGAGCUACCCGUUAAUGCCUUCCCGGCACCCCGAGCUUCCGCUCAUGCCUUCCCGGCACCCACGAGCUUCCGCUCACGAGCUUCCCACUCAUGCCUUCCCGGCACCACGAGCUUACCGCUCAUGCCUUCGCGGCACCCCGAGCUUCCGCUCAUGCCUUCCCGGCACCCACGAGCUUCCGCUCACGAGCUUCCCGCUCAUGCCUUCGCGGCACCCCGAGCUUCCGCUCAUGCCUUCCCAGCACCCACGAGCUUCCGCUCACGAGCUUCCCUCUCAUGCCUUCCCGGCACCCCGAGCUUCCGCUCAUGCCUUCCCGGCACCCCGAGCUUCCGCUCAUGCCUUCCCGGCACCACGAGCUUACCGCUCAUGCCUUCGCGGCACCCCGAGCUUCCGCUCAUGCCUUCCCGGCACCACGAGCUUACCGAUCAUGCCUUCCCGGCACCACGAGCUUACCGCUCAUGCCUUCGCGGCACCCCGAGCUUCCGCUCAUGCCUUCCCGGCAACCCUUGAGCUUCCCGCUCAUGCCUUCCCGGCACCCCGAGCUUCCGCUCAUGCCUUCCCGGCAACCCCCGAGCAUCCGCUCAUGCCUUCCCGGUAACCCCGAGCUUCCCGCUCACGCCUUCCCGGCACCCCCGAGCUUCCCGCUCACGCCUUCCCGGCAACCCCCGAGCUUCCGCUCAUGCCUUCCCGGCACCCCCGAGCUCCCGCUCAUGCCUUCCCGGCACCCCCGAGCUCACCGCUCAUGCCUUCCCGGCAACCCUCGAGCUUCGGCUCACGAGCUCCCGC